rnacentral:lncRNA from 1 species
AUCCAUAACCUAAUGUGAUUGAAAUAAUCUCUUCUCUCAAUAAUUAAAACAUCGUCUCUAUUGAUUUUUAUGAAUAAUUUAUUAUCUACUUUUUCUCUUGUGAAUCUUUUUAUUAUGGAGAAUUUAUUAAGACAUUUAACCAAGUUCAGGGACUGCUUUAAACCAUAUAAGAUUUUAAUUAGUUAUAGACAUGACUAAAAAGACGUCGAUAGAGAUCAAGGUGGCACAAAUCAUCAUAGGCCACAUGGAAGCUAAAAGAAACAUAAAAGCUACUGACCACAUGAGGGAUCAUGGGUACAUAAGCUUAAGAGUUCACAGCCACAAAGGAAAUCAUGGUUAUGUUUGACAUUCCGAUGCCAAAUAAGGGCACCAACGUCUGAUAGAGCAGACAUAAUAUAAAUAUUUACAUUGCAGGAGAACUAUACAUCUCAUACAAUGUGUAACGGCCCCAGAAUUUUAAAAUGAAAUGUGUGUAUUAAAAAGGUCAAAUGCGGAAGCAGAAAAAAAAUUUGAUUAACAUCCCUUACACUAAAACCAAAAACGUGCUCAAAGUAUAAAAGAACAAACUAAC